UGGGGAAUUUUGGACAAUGGGCGAAAGCCUGAUCCAGCAAUGCCGCGUGUGUGAAGAAGGCCUUCGGGUUGUAAAGCACUUUUGUCCGGAAAGAAAUCCUCUGGGUUAAUACCUCGGGGGGAUGACGGUACCGGAAGAAUAAGCACCAGCUAACUACGUGCCAGCAGCCGCGGUAAUACGUAGGGUGCAAGCGUUAAUCGGAAUUACUGGGCGUAAAGCGUGCGCAGGCGGUUUUGUAAGACGGAUGUGAAAUCCCCGGGCUUAACCUGGGAACUGCAUUCGUGACUGCAAGGCUAGAGUAUGGCAGAGGGGGGUAGAAUUCCACGUGUAGCAGUGAAAUGCGUAGAGAUGUGGAGGAAUACCGAUGGCGAAGGCAGCCCCCUGGGCCAAUACUGACGCUCAUGCACGAAAGCGUGGGGAGCAAACA
rnacentral:rRNA from 1 species